ensembl:Mt_tRNA
GCUCUAGUAGCUUAAACAUAAAGCGCCGGUCUUGUAAUCCGGAGACUGAAGGUUCGACUCCCUCCUAGCGCC